rnacentral:rRNA from 1 species
UGUAACGGGCGAGUGGAAGCGGCAAAAGCUCAAAUUUGAAAUCUGGUACCUUCGGUGCCCGAGUUGUAAUUUGGAGAGGGCAACUUUGGGGCCGUUCCUUGUCUAUGUUCCUUGGAACAGGACGUCAUAGAGGGUGAGAAUCCCGUGUGGCGAGGAGUGCGGUUCUUUGUAAAGUGCCUUCGAAGAGUCGAGUUGUUUGGGAAUGCAGCUCUAAGUGGGUGGUAAAUUCCAUCUAAAGCUAAAUAUUGGCGAGAGACCGAUAGCGAACAAGUACAGUGAUGGAAAGAUGAAAAGAACUUUGAAAAGAGAGUGAAAAAGUACGUGAAAUUGUUGAAAGGGAAGGGCAUUUGAUCAGACAUGGUGUUUUGUGCCCUCUGCUCCUUGUGGGUAGGGGAAUCUCGCAUUUCACUGGGCCAGCAUCAGUUUUGGUGGCAGGAUAAAUCCAUAGGAAUGUAGCUUGCCUCGGUAAGUAUUAUAGCCUGUGGGAAUACUGCCAGCUGGGACUGAGGACUGCGACGUAAGUCAAGGAUGCUGGCAUAAUGGUUAUAUGCCGCCCGUCUUGAACCACCCGAAAACA